rnacentral:rRNA from 1 species
UGAGGAAUAUUGCGCAAUGGGGGAAACCCUGACGCAGCGACGCCGCGUGGAUGAUGAAGGCCCUUGGGUCGUAAAAUCCUGUCAGGUGGAAAGAAUGGUAUAUAUGCUAAUAUCAUAUAUAUUUGACGGUACCACCAAAGGAAGCACCGGCUAACUCCGUGCCAGCAGCCGCGGUAAUACGGAGGGUGCAAGCGUUGUUCGGAAUUACUGGGCGUAAAGCGCGCGUAGGCGGUGUGUCAAGUCAGAUGUGAAAGCCCUCGGCUCAACCGGGGACGUGCAUUUGAAACUGGCAGACUUGAGUAUUGGAGGGGGUGGUGGAAUUCCCGGUGUAGAGGUGAAAUUCGUAGAUAUCGGGAGGAAUACCGGUGGCGAAGGCGACCACCUGGCCAAAUACUGACGCUGAGGUGCGAAAGCGUGGGGAGCAAACAGG